rnacentral:lncRNA from 1 species
CUCGUCAUUUUUCAUCCAGUUUUGGACUUUUUCAUCUUCCACCGUGAGCCAGUCGGUCUGUUGUGCAUGUUUGUGGACUUGAUCUUUUUCGUUGCAACUAAGUUUUACUUUAUUUACUAGCAGUUUUUACGUGAUUUUUAAGCUUUUUGUAAUAUAUUGAUUUCAGAAUAAAUAUUGGAAAUCUUCUCUUAAUUGUUAUCGUAGAUAUUUUGUUAGCAAUAUGAUGUAAAGGUGUAACUCAUGUAAUAAAAAGGUACCCAAAUCUCCCACCAGAUGCUGUCGAUUAAUUCAUCAACAUCAACAAUGCAAUGGCCGCUUCCAUUCACGUUGAAUGUUAUUGGUGUGUCUUGAAAAGGAGGAUUCAGACAAUCAGUUCAUCAUCGUCUGGUGUACAAUUCAUAUCUUAUAGUAAAUUGUCCAAACGCCGUUUGAUGUUGAACACAUUUCCGUGAACAGAUCACAUUUUUUAGGAAUGGAUAUUGUGCAAGUGAAACUGGGAAGAAACAUAAAUUGUACUGGCAACUCCUCCCUAGUAUGAAAUGGAUCAACGGGCCACAGUUAACAACAACAACAAAGGAAUCAUUACUUCCCGGAUAUCGCGAGUCAGCCACAGGUGUCACUCAAUCUCCAACGCAGUUUCUUUAUUGAAAUUGUGUGGCCCUGGCACAGAGAUCCUUGACCCAAUGCUAGCCUUUGUCUAUGACAGAAGAGUGACUUCCACCAACGUUCUGCCGCAUCCUCAUCUUCGCGACGUACGCUCAUUUAGCUUCGCUGCUACUCGUGAUUUUACUCUUACUACUCGUGCUACACAACUUUUUUCUACUUCAAUGACGAGUUAAACCACUUCAAUGGUCGCUUCCGUCCACCGUGACCCACCUGAAGUCACUCACCACGGGAUUAUGCCCAGGAGAAAACGUAUUGAAAGAGUCGUGCAGCUCACUGCUGUCGUUCAAAAUCAUUGUAUUCUACUGAAUGUUCCAUCAAAAUGAAACAGGAUUCAUCAUAAUUGUCUGCUGUUUGUAUUGGACUUGCUAGAUCGCCAAUCCCAGCCAUGCCCCGAUUUUGAGUGUUCUUCAUUACAGGUUUCUAACACAUUGGCAUGACAGAUUUGAUGAGAAGUCAUAUUUUGAAGAAAAAGAACAAGGACAAUACAGUCAACAAGGUUCCUUGUUUGCUAACCCGUUGGAUGCUACCCUUCAAUCUCCCUGUUUACUUCCUUACACAGGUCCUAUUGAUUUGAGGGUAACUCUUUCGCUACUGAUCACAUCAACUGUUGUAAACUGAUGAGAGAAUGCUGCAAUUCAAGACUGAUACAUUGUGUAGUUGUUAUAGAUAAAUGACAAGUGCAUAUCUGGGCUCCCUCCUUUUCUGUGGCCCCGUUUCCCUAACUAACCACUAACCA